GCCGUCCCCCUUCCCGUCCGGCCCGACCUACCUACGACUCCUACGGACGUGGCAGCAGUAAGGAAUAUUGGUCAAUGGGCGGAAGCCUGAACCAGCCAUGCCGCGUGCAGGAAGACGGCCCUACGGGUUGUAAACUGCUUUUGCAGGGGAAUAAAAUCCCGGAACGCGUUCCGGGGCUGAAUGUACUCUGAGAAUAAGGAUCGGCUAACUCCGUGCCAGCAGCCGCGUAAUAC
rnacentral:rRNA from 1 species